rnacentral:lncRNA from 1 species
GGAAUGUCCACUGUGUGCAAGGAAUUCUUCAUUGUAAGGCGAGGGCCAACAGGACAAGUCCACGGAACUGGAGAGUGCUGGGUGAGCUGGCAGUAAGCUGAUUGACAUGGAGGUGUUGGUAAUGGCAGUAGUGACUUCGAAAUUUAUAGGCCUGGUUUUGAUAAAUUAGAAAUAAUCUUAAAAUUUAAACUACUGCAUUGCUAAGAGCUGUGGUAUUAGAUUAUAGCAUCUUAUUAUCAGAAAAGGAGCAGACUGAUUUUGUUCUGUUGGGACGUUUUCAGUGGUUAGAUUAGAGCAAGGUGGAUGUUUUGUAUUGUCCAGGGCAGCUGUGCCCCCAAGUGGCCAUGGGCCGGCUCUGAGCUGCUGUAGCUCUUCAGGACUCUGCUGCUCGUGAGGCCCUCGCUAUGCACCAAAAAGCGCUGGUCACUGCUCUCUGGAGGCCAGGUGAGUCACACAGGUGGGCCGCUUACCCACGUUUUGCUUUGCUUUCCUUUUAUGGUCUUGUGUUGAGCCCAAAUUGGGGUUUAUUUCAUUUGGAUUCUGGUCCUUGGCCUCUAGGCCACCUAUAGCAAACUCAGUACAGUGACGUGCUCACAGUCCACAUUUCUGUAAUCCUAUGUUUCUUAAGGUUAGUCGGGGAUUCCAAAAUAGAAAACAGUGUUGACAGCGGGUAUUGAGAUCAUCUACCUCAGACUUUAUGACCACCCUAGAGGCUUAGCAACUCAACAAGUUUGUAAUAAUCACCUUUUUAUUAUAAAGUAAUAAAACCACAUUCCCAAAAGGAGAGCUGACUCUUGAAUCAGAAGAAGGCUAACUUUGGAACCUGCCUGCUGGCCUGACUGUUGCCGCCCCCCCUGCGGUGGCUGCACUGGACGCAACCUCUUAGACAUCCAGUCCCUUCUGG